CCUACGGGAGGCAGCAGUGGGGAAUAUUGCACAAUGGGGGGAACCCUGAUGCAGCGACGCCGCGUGAGUGAAGAAGUAUUUCGGUAUGUAAAGCUCUAUCAGCAGGGAAGAAGAUGACGGUACCUGACUAAGAAGCCCCGGCUAACUACGUGCCAGCAGCCGCGGUAAUACGUAGGGGGCAAGCGUUAUCCGGAUUUACUGGGUGUAAAGGGAGCGUAGACGGCAGCACAAGUCUGGAGUGAAAUGCCGGGGCUUAACCCCGGAACUGCUUUGGAAAUUGUGCAGCUAGAGUGCAGGAGAGGUAAGUGGAAUUCCUAGUGUAGCGGUGAAAUGCGUAGAUAUUAGGAGGAACACCAGUGGCGAAGGCGGCUUACUGGACUGUAACUGACGUUGAGGCUCGAAAGCGUGGGGAGCAAACAGGAUUAGAUACCCGAGUAGUC
rnacentral:rRNA from 1 species